AGCGAGACCGGCUUGCCGGCGAUGGCGGCCUAUCAGUCAAACCUGAUGGCCUCAUCGCCGGCAAGCCGGUCUCGCU
rnacentral:misc_RNA from 2 species